rnacentral:misc_RNA from 1 species
GAUGAAGAACGUAGCGAAAUGCGAUAAGUAAUGUGAAUUGCAGAAUUCAGUGAAUCAUCGAAUCUUUGAACGCACAUUGCGCCCGCUAGUAUUCUAGCGGGCAUGCCUGUUCGAGCGUCAUUUCAACCAUCAAGCCCCAGGCUUGUGUUGGAGCCCUGCGGCCGUACGCAGCCUCCUAAAAUCAGUGGCGGGCUCGCUAUCACACCGAGUGCAGUAGUUUACUCUUCGCUCAGGACGUGUAGCGGGUUCCGGCCGUGAAACCCCCCAAUUUUCAAGGUUGACCUCGGAUCAGGUAGGAAUACCCGCUGAACUUAAGCAUAUCAAUAAGCGGAGGA